rnacentral:rRNA from 1 species
AGUCGAACGGCAGAGCGGGGGAGUUUAUGCUCCCUGGCGGCGAGUGGCGGACGGGUGAGUAAUACGUAGGAAUCUACCUUAUAGAGGGGGGACAACCCGGGAAACCCGGGCUAAUACCGCAUGAUCCUGCGGCGGAGUAAAGCGGGGAUCUUCUGACCUCGCGCUACAAGAUUACCUAUGUCGGAUUAGCUUGUUGGUGGGUAAUUGCUCAACAAGGCGACGAUCCGUAGCUGGUCUGAGAGGAUGAUCAGCCACACUGGGACUGGAGACACGGCCUGUGACCUCACGCAGGAGGCAGCAGUGUAAACUGGACAAUGGGGGAAACCCUGAUCCAGCAAUGCCGCGUGUGUGAAGAAGGCCUCGGGUUGUAAAGCACCUCUGUAGGGAAGAAAUUCUCAAGAGUAAUAUACUUGAGCGUUGACGUUACCUACAGAAGAAGCACUGGGGCUAACUCUGUGCCAGCAGCCGCGUAAUACAUAGAGAGUGCGAGCGUUAAUCAGGAAUCACUGGGCGUAAAGAGCGCGUAGGAUAUUUAAGUCGGAUGUGAAAGCCCUAGGCUUAACCUAUAGACCGCACCUCUCGCCACUGAUAUCUCGAGUAUGGUAGAGGGAAGUGGAAUUUUCGGUGUGGAAGUGUGAAAUGUGUGUAGAUAUCGGAAAGAACACCAGUGGCGAAGGCGGCUUCCUGGGACCAAUACUGACACUGAGGUGCGAAAGCGUGGGGAGCAAACAGGAUUAGGGACCCUGGUAGUCCACGCCGUCAACGAUGAGAAACUAGCUGUUGGAUAUCAGUAGCGAAGCUAACGCGUUAAGUUCUCCGCCUGGGAGUCGGGCCGCAAGGUUAAAACUCAUGAAAUGACGGGGCCCGCACAAGCGGUGGAGCAUGUGGUUUAAUUCGAUGCAACGCGAAAAACCUUACCUUACCCUUGGACAUCCCUGUAACUUGUCAGAAAUGACUUGGUGCUUCGGGAACUGAGUGACAGGUGCCGUAUGGCUGUCGUCAGCUCGUGUCGUGAGAUGUUGGGUUAAGUCCCGUAACAACGAGCGCAACUUCGUCCUUAGUUGCCAGCGGUUCAGUCGGGAACUCUAAGGAGACUGCCGGUGAUAAACCGGAGGAAGGUGGGGAUGAUGUCAAGUCAUCAUGGCCCUUACGGUAGGGCUACACACGUGCUACAAUGGGCAGUACAAAGGGUUGCCAAACCAUAAGGUGGAGCCAAUCCCAAAACUGCUCAGUCCGAUUGAAGUCUGCAACUCGACUUCAUGAAGCUGGAAUCGCUAGUAAUCGCGAAUCAGAAUGUCGCGGUGAAUACGUUCUCGGGCCUUGUACACACCGCCCGUCACACCAUGGAGUGAAUUGUACCAGAAGCGGCAGGGGCUAACCUUCAGUGGAGGCCGCUCACCACGGUGUGGUUCAUGACUGGGGUGAAGUCGUAACAAGGUAACCG